rnacentral:rRNA from 1 species
UACGAAGGGUGCAAACGUUGCUCGGAAUUACUGGCGUAAAGCGCACGUAGGUGGUUUGCUAAGUCAGUUGUGAAUCCCGGGCUCAACCUGGGCACUGCAGUUGAACUGGCAAGCUAGAGUAGGGUAGAGGGUGUGGAAUUCCAGGUGUAGCGGUGAAAUGCGUAGAUAUCUGGAGGAACAUCAGUGGCGAAGGCGACACCUGGACUCAUACUGACACUGAGGUGCGAAAGCGUGGGAGCAAACAGG